UACGUAGGGGCAGGCGUGUCCGGAAUUAUUGGCGUAAAGAGCGCGCAGGCGGCUUGGUAAGUCGGAUGUGAAAUCCCGAGGCUCAACCUCGGGUCUGCAUCCGAUACUGCCCGGCUAGAGGUAGGUAGGGGAGAUCGGAAUUCCUGGUGUAGCGGUGAAAUGCGCAGAUAUCAGGAGGAACACCAAUAGCGAAGGCAGCUCGCUGGGACGGUACUGACGCUAAGGCGCGAAAGCGUGGGGAGCGAACAGG
rnacentral:rRNA from 1 species